rnacentral:rRNA from 1 species
AGAGUUUGAUCCUGGCUCAGGAUGAACGCUGGCGGCGUGCUUAACACAUGCAAGUCGAACGAUUAAGACCCGCUUCGGUGGGUGCAUAGAGUGGCGAACGGGUGAGUAACACGUGGGCAACCUGCCCCUCACUUCGGGAUAACUCAGGGAAACCUGAGCUAAUACCGGAUACUCCGGGACGGUCGCAUGGCCGACUCGGGAAAGUUCCGGCGGUGAGGGAUGGGCCCGCGGCCCAUUAGCUUGUUGGUGAGGUAAUGGCUCACCAAGGCAACGAUGGGUAGCCGAGCUGAGAGGCUGAUCGGCCACACUGGGACUGAGACACGGCCCAGACUCCUACGGGAGGCAGCAGUGGGGAAUCUUGCGCAAUGGGCGAAAGCCUGACGCAGCAACGCCGCGUGCGGGAUGAAGGCCUUCGGGUUGUAAACCGCUUUCAGCAGGGACGAAUCUGACUGUACCUGCAGAAGAAGCCCCGGCUAACUACGUGCCAGCAGCCGCGGUAAUACGUAGGGGGCAAGCGUUAUCCGGAUUCAUUGGGCGUAAAGCGCGCGUAGGCGGCUUGUUAAGCGAGGUGUGAAAACCGGGGGCUCAACCCGCGGCCUGCACCUCGAACUGGCAGGCUUGAGUCUGGUAGAGGAAAGUGGAAUUCCCAGUGUAGCGGUGAAAUGCGCAGAUAUUGGGAGGAACACCAGUGGCGAAGGCGGCUUUCUGGGCCACGACUGACGCUGAGGCGCGAAAGCUAGG